UAGUGUCUUAAGUGUGUUUUAUCAAAUAAACAUUUUUUACUAUACCAUCUAAAUAAAGGUUUUUAUUCUUUUGUGGAUUCAUCUGUAAUUGUCAUUUUAUUACAAUUUUACUUGUACCAAUUUAUAAAAAAGAAAGGGCCUUACACUUGCUUAUCUAAGUGAUUCUAACAAUUUGUUUUAUGCUUGUGUUAGGUCCCAAACCGAUGAUAAUUUCACAAGUUACUUUGGGGAGGUUCCACCAAUUCUUGACUAUUUUUACUGCCAAACCUACCCAAAAAAUUCGCAGGAAUCGUCUAUACUCAGCAGCCACAGGCAAUUCAAUGAACACUAUCAAUCACAUCAUCACAAUAAUCAAUUGCCAACAGAUCUGUUUGUGAUGAAUCGACCUGAUGUGUCUCCAACCUCGAGGCAUGUGUUUGUUGAUGCAAGUACCAACGGCUUAAAUUACGUGAUUGACUAUUCACGUUGUAUAGUGCCAAGGCUGCAUCAAUCAUCUUAUCAUUCAGGAGUAUAUCUCAUCCCUAAUUUAUUUUCAGUAAUUUAACCAGUCUAGUUUUUAAAAUUAAAAUUUUCAAUAAAUGUGUAUAUGUAACCAUUUAAAAGUAGGUGUGCUAUGUUUCUAAAUGUUCAUCUUUUAUGGAAUGAAUGCAGAGAGAAGUUGUUGAGCAAGAACAUAGACAGAGCAGGAUAGAUU